rnacentral:rRNA from 1 species
UACGUAGGAUGCAAGCGUUGUCUGGAUUUAUUGGGUUUAAAGGGUGCGUAGGCGGCCUAUUAAGUUAGUGGUGAAAACGUUCGCAUUAACCGAAUACCCGCCAUUGAUACUGAUAGACUUGAGUGCGACAGAGGGUGUUGGAAUGUGUGGUGUAGCGGUGAAAUGCUUAGAUAUCACGCAGAACACCAAUUGCGAAGGCAGAUGCCUAUGUCGUAACUGACGCUGAGGCACGAAAGCGUGGUGAGCAAACAGG